rnacentral:rRNA from 1 species
GUCCUGGCCCUAAACGAUGGGUACCAGAUUGUGGGCUGACAUGGGCUCACAGUCGAGGCAAAAGUGUUAAGUACCCCGCCUGGGGAGUAUGGUCGCAAGGCUGAAACUCAAAGGAAUUGACGGGGGCUCACACAAGCGGUGGAGCAUGUGGCUUAAUUCGAGGCUACGCGAAGAACCUUAUCCUGGGCUUGACAUGUCCGAAAGGGGUAGGAAGUAGGGCGCGGAAACGUGUCCCCAACGGUAUCCAGUCCGGAACCUACCACAGGUGCUGCAUGGCUGUCGU